GGAACUCCAAUGGUGUCUGUGUCAGCACGCUCACACCAGGCCACAACAAUGGCCGCCGCCAAUGUCCCAGUCCCUGGAGAGGUCUCACCUCUCACCGAGUUGCACUCAGGCCCUAUUAGAGAGAUCUACGUAUAUUCUGGUGAGCCAACAAGAGCGUGCCAAGGAUCCCCCAAAGAGCCCGUUACAUGGGAAGGGAAGAGAAAAAGACCUGUCUCUCUUUGGAAAAUACAAACUUGGGAGAACUUGAAAACAAUAGAUUUCUAGACCGACUGAAAGGGGGAAUUUGGACACAGACAGAGGGAAGACAAUCUGAAGAGACACAGGAAGAAGCCAGUCCUCUACAAGCCAAAGCUACAAGCACCUGCAAAGACAAGCCUGGAACAGAUCCUUCCUUAGCACCUUCAGAGAGAGCAUGGCCCUGCCCACUUCUUAAUUUCAGAUUUCUGGCCUCCAGAACUGUGAGACAAUACAUGUCUGUUGUUC